rnacentral:rRNA from 1 species
UGAACGCUGGCGGCAGGCCUAACACAUGCAAGUCGAGCGGAUGAAGGGAGCUUGCUCCUGGAUUCAGCGGCGGACGGGUGAGUAAUGCCUAGGAAUCUGCCUGGUAGUGGGGGAUAACGUCCGGAAACGGGCGCUAAUACCGCAUACGUCCUGAGGGAGAAAGUGGGGGAUCUUCGGACCUCACGCUAUCAGAUGAGCCUAGGUCGGAUUAGCUAGUUGGUGGGGUAAAGGCCUACCAAGGCGACGAUCCGUAACUGGUCUGAGAGGAUGAUCAGUCACACUGGAACUGAGACACGGUCCAGACUCCUACGGGAGGCAGCAGUGGGGAAUAUUGGACAAUGGGCGAAAGCCUGAUCCAGCCAUGCCGCGUGUGUGAAGAAGGUCUUCGGAUUGUAAAGCACUUUAAGUUGGGAGGAAGGGCAGUAAGUUAACACCUUGCUGUUUUGACGUUACCAACAGAAUAAGCACCGGCUAACUUCGUG